UCAUUUUAAGAAGAAAUUCUAAUCUAAAUGUGGUUUAUAAUUAUUUCAUUUUGUGAUUGUAAUUUACGGAAACUAUUGCUGUAUUUCAUGUUAUACAGUUAUGGAUCAUCAAGAAAGAAAUACAAGAUUUACGAACUAGUCGAACACGAGGAAAAUUGUUGAUUACAAGAUAGAUGAUAGCAUUUAGGACCGAGAAACAUUGUUUGUAUCAAAA